CGCAACCCCAAACCCUUAACCCCGUCUCCCUCCUCCCCGCCGCCCUCUCCCUCCCUCUCCUGCUCCCCGCCGCCGCCCUCUCUCUCCCUCUCUGACCCACCAUUCUCUCUCUGCUCGGGCGGCCGGGCACGGCGACCUCGGGCGGAGGAGCCGCGGAGCGGCACGAGGCGAUCGAGCGCGGCGAGCUUGGGCAGAGGAGCGGCGCGGGGCGGCCGGGCGCGGCGAGCUCGGAGGAGCAGCGGUGCGGCCAGGCACGGCGAGCUCCCUUUGCCCUCCGCCCUCCGCCCGCGCGGAGGCCGGGGCAGGGGGCGGCGCGACGCGGCCGGGCACGGCGAGCUCCCCUUCCACCCUCCGCCGCGUGGAGGCCGGGGCAGGGGCGGCGGCGAGCCUGCGCGGCGGCCGGGGCAGGGGCGGCGGCGAGCCUGCGCGGCGGCCGGGGCAGGGGCGGUGCGACGCGGCCGGCACGGCGAGCUCCCUCCGCCCGCGCGGAGCCUGGGGCAGGGGCGGCGCGGGGUGGCCGAGCAGCGCGGGGCGGGCGGCGCCAAGAUCCGGAGCAAGGGCCGGCGGCGCGUGGCGGGGCGGUCUACGCGGGGCUCAGACUGUGGGGCAAACAAUGAUGUGCAAGUUUAGGUCCUGGGGCGGCGGUCGAGCUCGCCGAGGUUGUCCCCGUCGAAGAAGGCGUUGGUGGCUGGCAUCAGUAUGUCGCCGCUGCUCUCACUCCUUUGGCUCCGUUCGCUGUUCUCGCAGGUGUUGAUCGAUCAGUGACAUGCGCAAGAAAUAGGUGAGUGAUUUCCCACAUGCGCAAGAAACAGGUGAGUGAUUCCCCCCAAUCCCCCACCUCUCAGUUAAUUUAAUUUGGUAGACGUUGGAUGCAAAUCUCGUGAGAUUUUUUGGAGCUUUCCCGUGGGUGCUUGAUUGCAGCAUAGUUUUGCAGAUAGCCAGGUGAUAUCCCUUUCUCCCCAUUAUUAUUUUGCCAUGGGAUCUCAUGAGAUCUGCCCAUGUCACUUUUCUUCUGAAAUGUGCAUUGUAGGCCUAGAUCCCAUUCUUCAUCCCUGAAUCUGUUGUGUUGCUGCUACAUUAAUGAGAAAUAAUCCCCUUAAUCUCCUUACUUUGAUCCACAUAUUAAAUUCUCUGGUGCUGUGAUGUUAUUAAUUAUCUGAUGUGAAGCAUUUGGACUAAUGAAAUGACAGUACUAAUAUUUUUGCAUUGAGGCAUUUGGGCAUAUGCGGCUACAAUCCAUCUGUCUAUUCUUUUGUUACUGAUCUGAGGCAUUUGGUAUAAGCAAUGAUGAUUGCCAUUCCUUUUAUGAUCUCUCUACUCUCUUCUUACUGAUCUGAUACAUUUGCUUGGCAUAUGCAGUUAUGGUUAUCAUUCCUUUUACGAUCUCUCUCUCUUCUUACUGAUCAGAAUCAUUUGGCAUAUGCAGUGAAUAUGACCAUUCUGACUCUGAUCUUCUAUUCUCCUAUUUAUUAACUGAGGUUGGCAUCUGCAGUGAUGACAACCAUUCUCUGCAUACUGUACUGAACCAUUUGGACUUGUGCAUGAGAAACAAUAUUUGAGAAACAAUAUUUUAGACAAUGAGAUGCAAUGUUUUCAAGUCGCCUAGUCGGUCCUAGUCGCCUAAGGACCGACCAGUCGAUUAGUCGCGAUUAGUCGUCGACCAGGUCGAACUAGUCGACCCUAGUCGAGCUAGUCGGCUGUUAGUCGUCCAUAGUAUAUAGUAAUAGUAUAUACUAUAUAGUAUAUAGUAGUAUAGUAUAUAGUUACAUACAAAUAAGGAACAGCAAGCUGCAAGGUAGGUUGGUGAAUGGUGACUUACUUGGAGUUGGAGUGGAGUAGCAAACUGCAAAAAGUUGGCACUUGGCACUUUGGCAGAUUAAAUAAGGAAGUAAGGAACAGCAGUAGGCAGUAGCAAACAAUAACAAGGCUAAUGCAAUAAGGCUAAUGCAAUAACAAGGCUAAUAGGCAAACAAUAAGGAACAGCAGUAGGCCAGUAGCAAACAAUAAGGAUUAAGGAAUAAGGACACAGCACACAGCAGUAGCAAACUAGCAAUUCAACUGGAAGCCUCCAUCAGACAGCACUCAACUGACUAGUGACUAAUCAAGUAGAUCAGCAUUCAACUGGAAGCCUCCAUCAGAAUCCUGUCCACAAUCUUCAUCCUCUUCCCUUGCUGCUGAAUCUGAGCCUGCUGCCUCAUCUGAAGAAUCUGAACCUUCUCCUUCAGCCUCAUCUUGUGCAAUAUCUUGGUCUUGGGCCUUUGUGAUUCUUGCACGUUUCCUCUUCCUAACAUAGGUUUGGUUGACAGCGGCAGCAGCACGAGCAGCAGCAGCCCUAGGUAAAUUACGCCCCCUAAGACCUUGAGUUGCACCAGCAACUUCAUCCACAACAGUCCAAGUCAAACUAUCGGUAUCACCAUGAACCGAUUCAGAAUUUUCAUCAACCCAUUCACUUUCCCAUUGAAAUUCCUCAAGCAAGAGUGGGUUGCUUUUCUUUCCUUUGGAACCAAGCUCUCUAAUUUUUUGAAAUCUGUUUUGCAUCUUCCGGUUGUAGCUAACAUACACCAACUUAUUUAACCUUUUAUGCUCCAACCGGUUUCUCUUUUUGGUAUGGACCUACACAAAAAAACAGCACUAAGUCCACUAACAAAUGCCCAAAGAAUGUUAUCUCCAAUUACUGCUAGUAGCAAAAAAUAGCAGUAACUUACAUGAGCAAACGCACUCCAAUUACGCUCACAUCCAGAUGCAGCACAACAAAGGCUAAUAAUUCUUUUUGCCAAACUUUGGAGCUCAUAUGCUAGGCCACCAUAUGAACCCCACCAAAGAACUGCAAAGUGCAAACCAAUUCAAAUUACUGCAUUACUACCAAUCAAAGUGAUCAAUGAAGAAGUGAAAUAGACAAAGAGUUAUAAAAAAAACAGCAGUAACAGCAGUAGCACAAAACUUACUAGGAUUUUUUUUAUUUCUAUCUCUGAUUGCUAGUGGCUUUGAGAAGCAAUCGCCUUCGGACCUCUCAUAGUCAUCUGCUUGCUUACUAAUCUUGCUUUGUUCAUCAUCAUCAUCUAUCAUUUUCCACAAAACAUCAUUGAACAUUGAUCUUAGCCUUGCAGCCCAUCUCUUAUCUUUUUCUUUUAUGUCAAAAUACUUCCCUGGAUUCAAGAAGAGGGCUGCCCCAUAUAGUCUUUGUUCCAUUUGGCUUUCCCAUCUCUUGUCAUAGCACUCAAGCACCUCCACAAGUAAACUUGGUUUAUCUUUCAAAGAUUCUUUGAUAGUGGCCUUUGCAACAUCCAUGGCUGCCAUGAUCUCAGGAGCUGCGGGUGUCUCAUCUCCAUCUGCUAUCCUCAAAGCAAUGAGAAGUGGUUGUGUAGCUCUUAGGCAGUUUUCCAUAUUGUUCCAAAAUGGCAUUGAAAGAACAAUAUUCACAACUUGCCGACCUUCGCUAGAUCUAGACAAGCUGUUAUUAUUCCAGUCGUCACUAACAAAUAAACUUCUCAAGCCAUUCCUAUGCCUAUGCAUACUUGCCAAUGUAAGAAAUGAGGUAGCAAAACGAGUCACAGCCGGCCUCACAAGAUCUCCACCUAUCUUCUCCCGCAUUUGAUCAAGAACCCUCCCAUGCUUGUAGAUAAAUCUGCAUACCUUCUUUGCAUUAUUUAUGCAAGUGUUGAAGUCCUUUAUCUUCCCAAUGUCCUCCAACAUCAAGUCCAAGCAAUGGGCAGCACAAGGUGUCCAAAACAAAUGAGGAAUCCUCUCCAUCAGAAUCCUUCCUGCUGCCUUGAAGUUGGCUCCAUUGUCAGUGACAACUUGCACCACAUAUUGCUCUCCAAUCUUAUCAAUUUGCUUCUUUAACAAGUCUGCCAACAUUUCAGCAUUUGCUAUCUCACUUGAAGCAUCAACAGAACCUAGGAAGAAGGUCCCUGCUCAUGCUUCUUCCUUAAUUCUGUUGUCCUAGUCACAGCCCUAUCAAGCAAAGGAACUCUUAUCUCAUGGUAUGAUGGUGAGCGGUAACCAGGGCCAUAUUGCCCAAUGGACUCUAGCAUUAUCUCCCAGCUUCUUGAGUUAAUUACAUUCAAUGGUAUGCCAUUCUCAUAGAAAAAAUCAGCAACAUGGUCAUCAACAAUCUGCUUGGCCUCCUUGGAUUUCUUUGUGCAAUGCUCAAGAGUAGGUUGAGAAGUCUUUGAUUUGUGCCUCUCUGCAACUACUUCUUCUGGUGUCUUGCAAAGCAUGGCACUCACUGACUUUGAAUACUUUUGAGUUUGUGCUUUUGGUGGAGCAGAAACAACAAAAGUGCUGAUGGCAGCCUGUGUCAUUUUCUUCUUUACUUGCUUGACCCUUGUCCCAGAACUAGGCACUGGUGCUGCUUUUGGUUCAUCUUGAGGCCCAACAACUUGUUCCCCUUCAUCUGCAGCUUCUUCAUCUACUUCAGAAAUUUGCACAUAAGUACUCUUGGAAUUCUUCAACAAGUAAUCAUUCAUCUCUCUCUUGACUACUUCAGGACUCUCAGGGCACCCUGCUACGUCACCAUAACCCCCAGCAAGGUGCUGCUUGAACCUUUUUAUUCCUGAAGGCACUACCUUCUUACAGAAAAUACACUGCACAAAGUCUUUCCUUGUAACAUCUGGCCACCACCCAUAGUUCCAUCCUGGGUCAGAAGAUUUAGCCUUCCUCGUCUUAUCAACAGCCUGGGCACGAAGAUCAGCUGGCAGUUUCGCAAUUGCCUUCUCAGCUAGGGAUUUACCACUGCAAUCUGGAGCAGUUGAGGCUACAGAGGAGUUGGCAGUUGCUUGAGUCUCAGCACCAAUAGAAUUUGGCGGUGCGUCAAUCUCGGCAGCAGCAGAUUCCCGUACCACACUAUCUGGCAUCAUCACUUCCACCAUUGCACGCCGCCGUUCCAUCUCUGCAUAUAGUCAAUAGCAUCAGGGGAGGAGCAGAGCAGGGGUGCUGGGGGCUAGAACUAGUACUGGGAGCAAGGGAGGAGCAUAUACUCAAAACUCACCGUCGGAGGAGGAGCUCAUCUUCAAAGGCUUGUGCUGCUGGCCUGCUGGAUCUUUAGCACAAGAGCAGAGCAGAGCUGCUGCUGGAUCUGAGACGAGAGCAGAGCACUAGAGCAGAGGAGGGGGCGGCUGCUGCUGGCUUCCACGGGAGAGGAGAGAGGAGGGGGCGGCUGCUGCUGGCUUCCACGGGAGAGGAGACCGGCGGCUGCUGGCCUGCUGCUGCUUCCACGGGAGCGGAGAGAGGAGGGGGCGGCUGCUGCUGGCUUCCACGGGAGAGGAGAGAGGAGGGGGCGGCUGCUGCUGGCUUCCACGGGAGAGGAGACCGGCGGCUGCUGGCCUGCUGCUGCUUCCACAGGAGCGGAGAGAGGAGGGGGCGGCUGCUGCUGGCUUCCACGGGAGAGGAGAGAGGAGGGGGCGGCUGCUGCUGGCUUCCACGGGAGAGGAGAGGAGACUGGCGGGAGAGGAGAGGAGACCGGCGGGAGAGGAGCAGAGGGAGAGGAGAUCAGGAGAGGAGAGAGGAGGGCGACUGGGAGAGGAGAGGAGAGAGGAGAGGAGGGAGAAGAGAGGAGAGGAGCUGCUGCUUGGCGCCGCGCGCGUUUUGGUGGCCUGAAAACGGCCCGUUUUGGCGCCUCCCGCGCCUCUGUUUUGGCGCCUCCCGCAGCAGUGCAGGAAAUCCUUUUUCUGGUCGCUUACAGCACUAAUCGGCCGACUAAUCGCGAUUAGUGGACGACUAAUCGGACGACCAGAAAGCUGGUCGACCAAAUCGGGUCGAUAGCCCUGGUCGGUCACUCUUCAGCGACCUGGACGACUAAUCGCGAUUAAUCGCGAUUAGUCGGACGACUUGAAAACACUGAUGAGAUGAAUGAUUUAGGCUAAAGAUCUUUGUGUGAGACUGUGUGUAAUGAACUAAUAAUUUUCUGACAACUGGCCGACAGUUAGUAAUUGUAGAACUUAUUUUUUGCUAUUCCAGUUCACACUGUGUAUGAUGGCAUAUGGAGGUCAAGAUUUCUUUUGAGAGCGAAAUUAAGUUCUAGCAGGCUCUCACGUACACCGAUUAUCCAUAUAAAUGAGAAGUGAAGCACAAGCAUUAAGAAUAUCUGGUAGUCAUGCGUACUCGUGAUAUGUUCAACCAUCUUUUUUAUUUCUGAAAUGAUUUGCAGUUUUGGAAGGGAAUUGCAUAUUCUAAGGAUAUAUUAUGUUGCAGAUUGGAUAGACGGAGCAUAGAAAAGGAGGUGAUAUCUGAAAAGGUUAUUGAAUGAGUAAUGCCAUUUGUGAAACUCUAUUUAAAAUGAUUCACUUUAUCUUGUAAUGUCACCUCUGGCUGGUAUAAAAUAGUUCUCAAGUGAUUGAGUCCUUACAUUUUAACAGAACUAUUUCAGAAAAUAAUAGUUACAGCAAUUUCAUGAGUUCUGAUUGAAACUGAUUCCUGUUUUUUGUUUCAACAUAGUGCCAACUGCUGAGAUGUUUGUGGCAUUCAUACUUUCAAAUAAGUUCAGUUUAUACCAGUGCAAAGUGAUACAGCCUAGCUUCUGAGUAUUUAUUACUUCAUCUUAUAUGUGAACAGUGAAGAGAUUUGAGCGGUAAAAUCAUUCAAGCUGCAUGAUUACCUCAGAACAUAAUCUGAAUAAUGCUUUCGUUAACUGAGCAUAAUGUGGCAUUUUUAUGAGAAGUAAAAUCAAAACAAGCACCUGACUCCAGUUCUAUUUUGUUGGUGUUUUUUAAUUAGCAACCUGCCAUCCUGUUUUUAGAAACCAUUCAAGUAGUAGAUCAUUUGAAAGUUGUUGUUACAUCUCCAUGACACAUGCUAGACAUUUAAAUUAUUAUCGUUUUGCAGUCCAAGCAAGCAUGCAUGAGCAGUGAAGCUCAUAUUGAUUUUGUCUCUACCAGCUGCGGCUGUGUGCCCUUCAUCUCUGGCAAGAAGAGUCCGAUGCAUGGGAUUUGGAGUCUGCAUUGACCGCAGCCCGCAAACUGUGUAGCAUGGUCAGUUAGUAUUCAAAGCUAACAGCUAGGUUGUUUGGUAGUUAUGCAUACUAAUUGUUGCUUGUAGAUUUAUGGUGCUCCGAUGUGUUGUAAUAUUGAUGCUCCAAAUGCCGGAUAGACAUCUGGUGAUCGGAUAUACUGUGAUGUUGAUGAUUGAGAUGCCGGACAGACACCUUAUGCAUAGGAGAGCCUGGUGCUCGGAUAUGUGGUAAUAUUUAUUAUUCAGAUGCCGGAUAGACACUUGAUGGAUAGUAUAGCUUGGUACUCGGAUGUGCUGUAAUAUUUAUGAUUCAAAUGCCGGAUAGACACCUAUAUUAACAUUUUGAUGA